UACGGGGGGGCAAGCGUUGUUCGGAAUUACUGGGCGUAAAGGGCUCGUAGGCGGCCAUCUAAGUCAGACGUGAAAUCCCCAGGCUUAACCUGGGAACUGCGUCGGAUACUGGAUGGCUUGAAUUCGGGAGAGGGAUGCAGAAUUCCAGGUGUAGCGGUGAAAUGCGUAGAUAUCUGGAGGAAUACCGGUGGCGAAGGCGGCAUCCUGGACCGACAUUGACGCUGAAAGGCGAAAGCUAGGGAGCAAACGGG
rnacentral:rRNA from 1 species